rnacentral:tRNA from 1 species
GGUUCCUUAGCUUAAUUGGUAAAGCGUGUUCUUGAUAAGGACAUGUUCGGAGUUCAAUUCUCUGAGGAAUCA